rnacentral:rRNA from 1 species
CAGCCGCCGCGGUAAUGCGUAGGUGGCGAGCGUUGUCCGGAAUUAUUGGGCGUAAAGGGAGCGCAGGCGGACAUAUAAGUCCAUCUUAAGAGUGCGGGGCUCAACCCCGUGAGGGGAUGGAAACUGUAUGCCUUGAGUGCAGGAGAGGAAAGCGGAAUUCCCAGUGUAGCGGUGAAAUGCGUAGAUAUUGGGAGGAACACCAGUGGCGUAGGCGGCUUUCUGGACUGCAACUGACGCUGAGGCUCGAAAGCCAGGGGAGCGAACGGGAUUAGAUACCCCUGUAGUCCCUGUCUCUUAUACA